UAGAGUAUAACGUAAGAAUUGUAUAUAUGCCACUUGUUUUGUACAUCCAACUAGCGUGAAUGAGAACCAAGGCCACACCACAGCGCUUUGGAUUUUAUGUUGAAAUCAACGCCUCGUUAUCGUCCACUCAUUACAAGACUUAUAAAUCCACCCAAAAUUCCUCAACUUCUCGUUCGACCCUCUCUCUCUCUCUCUCUCUCUCUCUCUCUCUAUCUCUAUCUCUCUUGCAUUUCGUAAGCAUCUGAUUUUCAGUCAUGAGCCACUUUGAUCAGCAGCAAGCUCCUGGGGCAUAUCCCCCACCUGUGACUGCAUAUCCGCCAAGCUAUGGGCAUCCACAGGCAGUAGUAGAUCAGGGCAACGUUCAAGCUCCUAAUUAUGUUGCACCACCUCCACCAAUUGGUUACCCAACCCGUGGUACUGACCCUACAGCAGGGUAUCCCCAACACAUGCCUCCCGUUGAAA